rnacentral:rRNA from 1 species
AUUGAACGCUGGCGGCAGGCCUAACACAUGCAAGUCGAGCGGUUGAAGGGAGCUUGCUCCCUGAUUCAGCGGCGGACGGGUGAGUAAUGCCUAGGAAUCUGCCUAUUAGUGGGGGACAACGUUUCGAAAGGAACGCUAAUACCGCAUACGUCCUACGGGAGAAAGCAGGGGACCUUCGGGCCUUGCGCUAAUAGAUGAGCCUAGGUCGGAUUAGCUUGUUGGUGAGGUAAUGGCUCACCAAGGCGACGAGCCGUAACUGGUCUGAGAGGAUGAUCAGUCACACUGGAACUGAGACACGGUCCAGACUCCUACGGGAGGCAGCAGUGGGGAAUAUUGGACGAUGGGCGAAAGCCUGAUCCAGCCAUGCCGCGUGUGUGAAGAAGGUCUUCGGAUUGUAAAGCACUUUAAGUUGGGAGGAAGGGUUGUAGAUUAAUACUCUGCAAUUUUGACGUUACCGACAGAAUAAGCACCGGCUAACUCUGUGCCAGCCGCCGCCGUAA